rnacentral:rRNA from 1 species
AGCGGGUCUGAGAGGAUGAUCCGCCACACUGGAACUGAGACACGGUCCAGACUCCUACGGGAGGCAGCAGUGGGGAAUUUUGGACAAUGGGGGCAACCCUGAUCCAGCCAUGCCGCGUGAGUGAAGAAGGCCUUCGGGUUGUAAGCUCUUUCGGCCGGGAAGAAAUCGCAUGGGCCAAUACCCUGUGUGGAUGACGGUACCGGAAUAAGAAGCACCGGCUAACUACGUGCCAGCAGCCGCGGUAAUACGUAGGGUGCGAGCGUUAAUCGGAAUUACUGGGCGUAAAGCGUGCGCAGGCGGUUUUGUAAGACAGGCGUGAAAUCCCCGGGCUCAACCUGGGAACUGCGUUUGUGACUGCAAGGCUAGAGUACGGCAGAGGGGGGUGGAAUUCCACGUGUAGCAGUGAAAUGCGUAGAGAUGUGGAGGAACACCAAUGGCGAAGGCAGCCCCCUGGGUCGAUACUGACGCUCAUGCACGAAAGCGUGGGUAGCAAACAGGAUUAGAUACCCUGGUAGUCCACGCCCUAAACUAUGUCAACUAGGUGUUGGGUGGGUAAAACCAUUUAGUACCGUAGCUAACGCGUGAAGUUGACCGCCUGGGGAGUACGGCCGCAAGGUUAAAACUCAAAGGAAUUGACGGGGACCCGCACAAGCGGUGGAUGAUGUGGAUUAAUUCGAUGCAACGCGAAAAACCUUACCUACCCUUGACAUGCCAGGAACUUGCCAGAGAUGGCUUGGUGCCCGAAAGGGAGCCUGGACACAGGUGCUGCAUGGCUGUCGUCAGCUCGUGUCGUGAGAUGUUGGGUUAAGUCCCGCAACGAGCGCAACCCUUGUCGUUAAUUGCCAUCAUUUAGUUGGGCACUUUAGCGAGACUGCCGGUGACAAACCGGAGGAAGGUGGGGAUGACGUCAAGUCCUCAUGGCCCUUAUGGGUAGGGCUUCACACGUCAUACAAUGGUCGGUACAGAGGGUCGCCAAGCCGCGAGGUGGAGCCAAUCCCAGAAAGCCGAUCGUAGCCCGGAUUGCAGGCUGCAACUCGCCUGCAUGAAGUCGGAAUCGCUAGUAAUCGUGGAUCAGCAUGUCACGGUGAAUACGUUCCCGGGUCUUGUACACACCGCCCGUCACACCAUGGGAGCGGGUUCCGCCAGAAGUAGGUAGCCUAACCGCAAGGAGGGCGCUUACCACGGCGGGGUUCGUGACUGGGGUGAAGUCGAAACAAGGUA